UUGAGAGAAUUAGGUGUUGUCAAGACCGUCUGGACUAAAUAUGUGAUUGAACCCAGUUAAGCCUUCUAUAUAAACUUCUAAGAGUCUGGCAGACGGGUGCAGAGAUCUGCUCAUCUGGAGGCCACCCAAGCCAAGCCUCGGAUAUAUCACCGUCUGAUCACUCAGCUUACAGGCUUGGAAACGUGGUUAUCUUUUUAUUGAGAGCCUUUCCAGAAAAAUGGCUUCCUUAACUUGGAAGAGGCUGAUUAAAGGAAUUGGAUAACCUUGGGAGGGGCAGUCCCUCUGUGGUCAGCAAGGCUCGAGAUGUCAAAGCAUCAGGAUACAAAAAAAUAAAAGGUUCUUUUAAAGCUGUACCGGCCAAGCUGAGUGAGAGAGAAGGUGUAAACAUCACGGUUGAAAUGAAACUCGAAAACCACUGAGAAAAGAAAUGGGGAAGAUAUUUUGAAAGGACACGAUGCAGACUGGCGAUAGACCCUUAUGCGCUGAGUGCAUUUUACCUGGAAAGGAGCCUGGGCUUCCGAGCAAGUUACCUUGGAACUGCAAGAUAACUGCAUUAACAUUGUGUAAAUGCAAUGUAAGUGCAAAUUACAACAGCACUAAGUUAGCAGAAGGAAAAUGUACUCGGGAGCCUAGCCAAAGAAGGGAGCCAACAAAAGAGAAGAAAAAAAGAAAAAAAGG